GACGAACGCUGGCGGCGUGCCUAAUACAUGCAAGUAGAACGCUGAAGAGAGGAGCUUGCUCUUCUUGGAUGAGUUGCGAACGGGUGAGUAACGCGUAGGUAACCUGCCUUGUAGCGGGGGAUAACUAUUGGAAGCGAUAGCUAAUACCGCAUAACAAUGGAUGACACAUGUCAUUUAUUUGAAAGGGGCAAUUGCUCCACUACAAGAUGGACCUGCGUUGUAUUAGCUAGUAGGUGAGGUAAUGGCUCACCUAGGCGACGAUACAUAGCCGACCUGAGAGGGUGAUCGGCCACACUGGGACUGAGACACGGCCCAGACUCCUACGGGAGGCAGCAGUAGGGAAUCUUCGGCAAUGGGGGCAACCCUGACCGAGCAACGCCGCGUGAGUGAAGAAGGUUUUCGGAUCGUAAAGUUCUGUUGUAAGUCAAGAACGGGUGUGAGAGUGGAAAGUUCACACUGUGACGGUAGCUUACCAGAAAGGGACGGCUAACUACGUG
rnacentral:rRNA from 1 species